GGGAGCAUUUCUCAGGUCAGCAGGAGAGGAGUCCCUGUGGAAGGGUGAAGAUGCAAUCCUGAGGUCAUAACUCAUAAGGGACUGUGGGUGGGAGAAGUAUGUGAAGGCAUUAACUCCUCUUGGGACAGAAAACUCCCUGACAG